CUUGUUGGUUGUUGUAGUAACGGGGGAAGCAGCCGUCGGCGGCGGCGGUGAGCCCGGCUGGGGAAGGAGGAGGGAGGUAGGCGCGGAGCGCGGUCCCCGCCGGCCCGCCCGGAGCCAUGGGAAGAUGAGACAGGAAUCAGUGCCACCUAAAUUGUUUGAUCCAGUGAAUCUGCAAGGAAAGGUCUCUGAGGCCCCGUCUGCUGACUGCAUGACAAACCCUAAAGGAAAUGCCAGUCGUGAUGGCCCGGGACCUGGAGGAAACGGCAUCAUCCUCAGAGGAUGAAGAGGUGGUAAGCCAAGAGGAUCAUCCGUGUAUCAUGUGGACUGGAGGCUGCCGGAGAAUUCCAGUUUUGGUGUUCCAUGCUGAGGCUAUUCUGACAAAGGACAACAAUAUUCGAGUAAUUGGAGAACGUUAUCAUUUGUCUUACAAAAUUGUGCGAACAGAUAGUCGCCUGGUACGCAGCAUUCUGACAGCCCAUGGAUUUCAUGAAGUUCACCCAAGCAGCACUGACUAUAACCUAAUGUGGACAGGAUCCCACCUGAAGCCCUUCUUACUUCGCACCCUCUCUGAAGCACAAAAGGUUAAUCACUUUCCCAGGUCCUAUGAACUAACCCGGAAAGACCGACUAUACAAAAACAUCAUUCGAAUGCAGCAUACACACGGGUUCAAGGCUUUUCACAUCCUCCCUCAGACCUUCCUUCUGCCAGCCGAGUAUGCGGAAUUCUGUAAUUCAUAUUCAAAGGACCGGGGACCUUGGAUAGUAAAACCAGUGGCCUCUUCCAGGGGGCGGGGCGUCUACCUGAUCAACAAUCCGAACCAGAUUUCCCUGGAGGAGAACAUCCUGGUCUCCCGUUACAUUAACAACCCCCUGCUUAUAGACGAUUUCAAGUUUGAUGUGCGCCUCUACGUGCUUGUGACUUCCUAUGAUCCUCUUGUUAUCUAUCUCUAUGAAGAAGGAUUGGCUAGGUUUGCAACUGUGCGAUACGAUCAAGGAGCCAAGAACAUUCGGAACCAGUUCAUGCACCUGACAAACUAUAGCGUGAAUAAGAAGAGUGGAGACUAUGUCAGCUGUGAUGAUCCAGAGGUGGAGGAUUAUGGGAACAAGUGGAGCAUGAGCGCCAUGCUUAGGUAUCUGAAACAGGAGGGCAGAGAUACAACUGCAUUGAUGGCCCAUGUGGAAGACCUGAUUAUUAAGACUAUAAUCUCUGCUGAACUAGCUAUUGCCACAGCCUGUAAAACCUUUGUUCCUCACCGCAGCAGUUGUUUUGAACUCUAUGGCUUUGAUGUGCUCAUAGAUUCUACUCUGAAGCCAUGGUUGUUGGAAGUAAAUCUCUCCCCUUCUUUGGCCUGUGAUGCACCCCUGGACCUAAAGAUUAAAGCCAGUAUGAUUUCAGAUAUGUUCACUGUUGUAGGAUUUGUGUGCCAGGAUCCUGCCCAGAGGGCAUCAACCCGGCCAAUGUAUCCCACCUUUGAGUCUUCCAGGCGAAACCCUUUCCAGAAACCUCAGCGUUCCCGUCCACUCUCUGCCAGUGAUGCGGAAAUGAAAAACCUUGUGGGCUCAGCCCGAGAGAAGGUGCCGGGGAAGUUAGGUGGUUCUGUGCUUGGUCUGUCAAUGGAGGAGAUCAAAGUUUUACGGAGAGUGAAGGAAGAAAAUGAUCGGAGAGGUGGAUUUAUUCGCAUAUUCCCUACAUCAGAGACAUGGGAAAUAUAUGGGUCCUACCUUGAACACAAGACCUCCAUGAACUAUAUGCUGGCAACACGUCUGUUCCAGGACAGGGGAAACCCAAGAAGAAGCUUAUUGACAGGAAGAACACGACUAGCUGCUGAUGGAGCACCAGAACUAAAAGUAGAGAGUAUGAAUUCAAAGGCCAGGCUGCAUGCUGCUCUCUAUGAGAGGAAGCUCCUGUCUUUGGAGGUGCGGAAACGUCGACGACGCAGCAGCAGAUUGAGGGCAAUGAGGCCAAAAUACCCAGUGAUCACUCAACCAGCUGAAAUGAAUGUUAAAACUGAGACAGAGAGUGAAGAGGAGGAAGAAGUCGCAUUAGACAAUGAAGAUGAGGAACAGGAGGCUUCCCAGGAGGAAUCUGCAGGGUCCCUUGGAGAAAAUCAAGCCAAAUACACCCCCUCAUUGACUGUUAUGGUAGAAAAUUCACCCAAAGAAAAUGCCAUGAAAGUUUCUGAAUGGAAUAAUAAAGGUGAACAGUGCUGCAAAAUUGAGACUCAGGAGCCAGAGCCUAAGUUUAACCUGAUGCAGAUUCUGCAAGAUAACGGCAAUCUUAGCAAAGUGCAGGCCCGAAUAGCAUUCUCUGCCUAUCUCCAGCAUGUUCAAAUUCGCCUGAUGAAAGACAGUGGAGGUCAAACGUUCAGUGCCAGUUGGGCUGCCAAAGAGGAUGAACAGAUGGAGCUAGUGGUUCGCUUCCUUAAACGAGCGUCUAGUAACCUCCAGCACUCACUGAGGAUGGUAUUACCCAGUCGACGAUUGGCACUUCUGGAACGCAGAAGAAUCUUGGCCCACCAACUGGGUGAUUUUAUUAUUGUAUACAACAAGGAAACAGAACAGUUGGCUGAAAAGAAAUCGAAGAAGAAACUUGAAGAAGAAGAGGAAGUUGGGGUGAAUACAGAAAACUUUCAGGAGUUCAUCAGACAAGCAAGUGAGGCUGAACUGGAGGAGGUGUUGACUUUUUAUACUCAAAAAAACAAGUCUGCAAGUGUCUUCCUGGGGACUCACUCAAAAAGUUCUAAAAACAGCAACAGUUAUUCUGAUAGCGGGGCAAAGGGUGAUCACCCUGAGACGAUGGAGGAAGUGAAAAUAAAGCAGCCCAAACAGCAGCAGGCCACAGAAAUUCACUGUGAUAAAUUAUCUCGAUUUACCACUUCAGCAGACAAAGAGGCUAAAUUAGUCUAUACAGAUUCUUCCUCCGCUUCUUUCUCUGGUCCUGUUGUUACUCUUCUGCAGAAAAUUCCCAGUACCCACUUGUCAUCUAUUAUUACAACCUCUGACCUCUCACCAGGGCCCAGCCACCAUUCUUCUUUCUCUCAGAUUCCUCCAGCUAUCCCCAGCAUGUCUCACCAGCCAACAGGUUUACUGAGCACAGCCCCUGACAGUGCCUCUCCCUCCAUACUUCCUGGGACACAGAACGCACCAAGCCCUGCUGGUCUGCCGCGCUGUCGAUCAGGCAGUUACACCAUUGGCCCCUUUUCCUCUUUCCAAAGUGCUGCCCACAUCUAUAGCCAGAAACUGUCUCGUCCCUCUUCAGCAAAGGCAGCAGGUUCAUGCCAUCCGAACAAGCUGCACUCGGGAAUGGCUAAACCACAAAGAGAGGGAGAGGAUGGUUCUCCGUACAGCAGAUGGUAUAACCCAAGCAUGGUCACGGCUGAGCUCCAGCGGCUGGCUGAGAAGAAGGCAGCCAGGCAGUAUUCCCCAUCUACCCACAUCAGUCUCCUCGCCCAGCAGGUAACAAACCUGAAUUUGGCAAGUGGCGUCAUAAACAGAAGCAGUGCUUCAACCCCCCCUACCCUUCGGCCUGUCAUCAGUCCUAGUGGCCCGACAUGGUCAAUACAGUCAGACCCCCAAGCUCCUGAGAGCCACUCUACCCAUCCUGGAAGCAGGAGCCUUCAAACAGGAGGCUUUGCCUGGGAGGGAGAGGUAGAAAACAACGCGUAUAGCAAGGCUACAGGGGUGGUCCCUCAGCACAAGUAUCACCCCACAGCGGGCAGUUACCAACUCCAUUUUGCCCUGCAGCAACUUGAACAACAAAAACUUCAGUCCCGGCAGCUUCUGGACCAGAGUCGAGCCCGGCACCAGGCCAUCUUUGGCAGCCAGACACUCUCUAACUCUAAUUUGUGGACAAUAAAUAAUGGUGCAGCUUGCAGAAUUUCAAGUGCCACAGCUAGUGGCCAGAAGCCAACCACUCUGCCACAAAAAGUGGUGCCACCUCCAAGUUCUUCCUCCUCACUGGUCCCCAAGCCCCCAGCCAAUCACAAACAAGUCCUCAGAAAGACGACAUCCCAGAGGGCCUCCAAAGGCUCCUCCACAGAAGGGCAGCUGAACGGACCCCAGAGCAGCUUUAACGCUGCAGCCUUUGCGCCCAUCACCAGCUCCGCAGAUCCUGCUCACACUGAGAGAUGAGCCGCAACCGCACGGAGGAAGAACCUGUUUGCUACUCCUGCUCCAGCAGGGGCGUGGGGCCGAAGCAUCCACCAGCGCUGCAAGGGGUCCACGAUUGCAAUAUUAAGCUUUACUUCCCACAAGCCUAAAAUCCCAACAUCAUCUACCAAAGUUGUUCUUCCCUUUUCCGAGGGGUCGGGGGAAGGGGGAAGCAUACAUCACAAGCUUCCCAGAGAGUGGAACAAAGUCGGUGUGCUGCUGACCACAUGAGCCGUGGUAAAGGCAUCCUUUGGAAUUACUGAUUUCUAAAAUUAAUAAAGUAAUUCUAUUUUUAUUUUCUUUUUUUCCAUUUACUAAUUUCCCAACAAUCAGUAUUCACAAACAAGCCUGAAGUGGGACCAACUUCCCGUUUUCUUUCAUUGCUGGGCAAUUUUUUAAACUACAUUUUAGAAAUGUGAACUAUAAAGAGAUGUUUUCUUCUUCCGUUUGGUUUCAGCAGAUCGUGGGUCCAGGCUCUUCCCCAUAGGCAGCUCCUGAACCUGGGAAGCUCGUAUGUGCACAUGUCUCCAUUAUCGACCUGCCAUGGACAGGUCGUCUAGGGGUCCUCAUCAGAAUGAGGUGGCACAGCCCCCCUAGAUGGCUGUCCACUUGACCUCUGCCCCCUCUCCUCACCUUUCCCUGGUCCCCUCUCUGGCUUCUACUGAAGAAAAGGUUGAAAAGUGGGCUGCAGAGCCUGACUGAAGGACUGACAGCUACCCUGGGGAUUUACUGGGGGAGGAUCCAGAGUCUGGGUUUUUCUACAGCAGGGUACUCUAGACUCAGCAUUGAAACCCCAAAGGAAAAAUGACACCCAACAAGGCAGAGAGAAAAGGGACUUUAUUGACUUCU